UUUAGAGUUUGAUCCUGGCUCAGAUUGAACGCUGGCGGCAGGCUUAACACAUGCAAGUCGAGCGGUAACAGGGGGAGCUUGCUCCCUGCUGACGAGCGGCGGACGGGUGAGUAAUGCAUAGGAAUCUGCCCAGUAGUUGGGGAUAGCCCGGGGAAACCCGGAUUAAUACCGAAUACGCCCUACGGGGGAAAGCAGGGGAUCUUCGGACCUUGCGCUAUUGGAUGAGCCUAUGUCGGAUUAGCUAGUUGGUGGGGUAACGGCCUACCAAGGCGACGAUCCGUAGCUGGUCUGAGAGGAUGAUCAGCCACAUCGGGACUGAGACACGGCCCGAACUCCUACGGGAGGCAGCAGUGGGGAAUAUUGGACAAUGGGGGCAACCCUGAUCCAGCCAUGCCGCGUGUGUGAAGAAGGCUUUCGGGUUGUAAAGCACUUUCAGUGAGGAGGAAAACCUUACGGCUAAUAACCGUGAGGCUUGAGAGUACUCACAGAAGAACGCACCGC
rnacentral:rRNA from 1 species